GCCUGGGUGGCUCAAUCGGUUGAGUGUCUGACUUCAGCUCAGGUCAUGAUCUCCCGGCUCGUUAAUUCGAGCCCCACGUU
rnacentral:tRNA from 1 species